rnacentral:sRNA from 1 species
GACGACUUUGGGAUAGGUAGCUGAAAUGUGUUAUGUGCGGCGCAUCUGGUAUGCAAUAGUGGGCUUCUUUAGAAGAGGACGCGUACGUUUCAGCGUAAAUACAGUGGAGCGAGCAGAGUCGCGCGAAGAGACCCAUCGGGACAACAUUCGAGCAUAUGCAGAGGAGCAAAAGCGUUUGGCCAGAGAAAGGUACAAGCAACUUUGAACAGAUCGGCCAUUUAUUAAAAUAUGAAGAUUCGCAGGCCUCGAUUGAGUUUCCCCAGUUGCUGGAGUUCCAGCGGCGUGAGGCAGAAAUCAAAGAUAUCCAGGUUCUCGGAAAUGUGAAACUCCUGAGCCGCCUUUGGUAUGGGUAUCGUGCCAAUAUCCAGCUGGGUACAAUUAUACUAGUUAGCGAUUAAUGAUCUUUUUGUAAGUUAUCUGCUAAUUAUACCAAAUAUCUGAGUGCCAA